UACGUAGGGGGCUAGCGUUGUCCGGAAUCAUUGGGCGUAAAGAGCGUGUAGGCGGUUCGGUAAGUCCGCUGUGAAAGUCCAGGGCUCAACCCUGGAAUGCCAGUGGAAACUGCCGAGCUAGAGUCCGGAAGAGGCGAGUGGAAUUCCUGGUGUAGCGGUGAAGUGCGCAGAUAUCAGGAGGAACACCGGUGGCGAAGGCGGGUCUCUGGGCCGGUACCGACGCUGAGGAGCGAAAGCGUGGGGAGCGAACAGG
rnacentral:rRNA from 1 species